AAGCUUUGGGCGAGAGUACUUGUCCUCGCAUUUCACGCCGUCGCGGGCCCGU
rnacentral:rRNA from 1 species